rnacentral:sRNA from 1 species
GCAUGGAGUCCGAAUCGGAAAGCGGGGCUGCUGCUGACACCCCCCCACUGGAGACCCUAAGCUUCCAUGGUGACGAAGAGAUUAUCGAGGUGGUAGAACUUGAUCCCGGUCCGCCGGACCCAGAUGACCUGGCCCAGGAGAUGGAAGAUGUGGACUUUGAGGAAGAAGAGGAGGAAGAGGGCAACGAAGAGGGCUGGGUUCUAGAACCCCAGGAAGGGGUGGUCGGCAGCAUGGAGGGCCCCGACGAUAGCGAGGUCACCUUUGCAUUGCACUCAGCAUCUGUGUUUUGUGUGAGCCUGGACCCCAAGACCAAUACCUUGGCGGUGACCGGGGGUGAAGAUGACAAAGCCUUCGUAUGGCGGCUCAGCGAUGGGGAGCUGCUCUUUGAGUGUGCAGGCCAUAAAGACUCUGUGACUUGUGCUGGUUUCAGCCAUGACUCCACUCUAGUGGCCACAGGGGACAUGAGUGGCCUCUUGAAAGUGUGGCAGGUGGACACCAAGGAGGAGGUCUGGUCCUUUGAAGCAGGAGACCUGGAGUGGAUGGAGUGGCAUCCUCGGGCACCUGUCCUGUUGGCGGGCACAGCCGAUGGCAACACCUGGAUGUGGAAAGUCCCGAAUGGUGACUGCAAGACCUUCCAGGGUCCCAACUGCCCAGCCACCUGUGGCCGAGUCCUCCCUGAUGGUGAGAGCACCUCCCUUAUGUGACCUUUCCCGAGUGCAGAGGCUGAAUCCCGGGGUAUACACCUCCCAGAGCAGCCUUCUGGGUCACAGCCGGCAAACUGUGAGGCCUGCCCUUUGCAGUGCUGACCUCCUGGGCCCCAAAGCUCACAGCGCCUCCUUCUUGCUCUGAACUUACCUGUGAUUCCUGGGGCAGUGUCUGGGCCCUUCCACUCUUCUUUCCUCUCCCUCUCCCCGUUCCCUUGCUUAGUGUAUCUGAGCGUGCCCUCUGCCCUCUCUUCAUCUGUGCCUCUCUUCAGGGAAGAGAGCUGUGGUAGGCUAUGAAGAUGGGACCAUCAGGAUUUGGGACCUGAAGCAGGGAAGCCCUAUCCAUGUACUGAAAGGUAUCAGAGGUGGGGGAAGUGUUAACCUGGGCCUUUGUGGGGAGGGGCUGAGAACCUGGGGCAGGACUCAGAGGGGAGGUAGGACGAAGCCUGACUUGCCUCCCUGCUCUAUGCUAGGGACUGAGGGUCACCAGGGCCCACUCACCUGUGUUGCCACCAACCAGGAUGGCAGCUUGAUCCUAACUGGCUCUGUGGACUGCCAGGCCAAGCUGGUCAGUGCCACUACUGGCAAGGUGAGUGGACCUGGAGCCCGGCUGGGUCCUCCGCUUUCCCGACUCCUCUCCUUCCUUCCUGGGUCUUCACUGUCUCCUCUCCCCACCAUCUUUCUCUCCAUCAAGCACCCGGAUUCCGGGUCCUCCUCUGAUCCUCUCUGGCUUUCAGGUGGUGGGUGUUUUUAGACCUGAGACUGUGGCCUCCCAGCCCAGCCUGGGAGAAGGGGAGGAGAGUGAGUCCAACUCGGUGGAGUCCUUGGGCUUCUGCAGUGUGAUGCCCCUGGCAGCUGUUGGCUACCUGGAUGGGACCUUGGCCAUCUAUGACCUGGCUACGCAGACUCUUAGGCAUCAGUGUCAGCACCAGUCGGGCAUCGUGCAGCUGCUGUGGGAGGCAGGCACUGCCGUGGUAUAUACCUGCAGCCUGGAUGGCAUCGUGCGCCUCUGGGAUGCCCGGACCGGCCGCCUGCUUACUGACUACCGGGGCCACACGGCCGAGAUCCUGGACUUUGCCCUCAGCAAAGAUGCCUCCCUGGUGGUGACCACGUCAGGAGACCACAAAGCGAAAGUAUUUUGUGUCCAAAGGCCUGACCGUUAAUGGCUGCAGCCCCUGCCUGUGUGUCUGGUGUUGAGGGGACGAAGGGACCCCUGCCCCUGUCUGCCAGCAGAGGCAGUAGGGCACAGAGGGAAGAGGAGGGUGGGGCCCUGGAUGACUUUCCAGCCUCUUCAACUGACUUGCUCCUCUCUCCUUUUCUUGUCUUUAGAGACCCAGCCCAGGGCCCUCCCACCCUUGCCCAGACCUGGUGGGCCCUUCAGAGGGAGGGGUGGACCUGUUUCUCUUUCACUUUCAUUUGCUGGUGUGAGCCAUGGGGUGUGUAUUUGUAUGUGGGGAGUAGGUGUUUGAGGUUCCCGUUCUUUCCCUUCCCAAGUCUCUGGGGGUGGAAAGGAGGAAGAGAUACUAGUUAAAGAUUUUAAAAAUGUAAAUAAAAUAUACUUCCCAG